UUCAAGAGAUACUGAGAUAGCAAUGGGAGCAUACCAGCCGAGUCACACUUGGGGAAAUAAGAGGAGACAUCCACGAGGCCAGGUAUAUGGAUACAGAAUGUCACUCUGGGCAGAACACUUGGGAUUGGUUGAUAGAUUGUUUGAAGAGCCUGAAACUUUGGAUUGUGUGAAUACUGUGAACAAAAUUGCUGAAGAUAACUGGAGGAGGUUCACAGAGAAGGAAUUUUCGCCAUUGCAGGGGCACCUCCUUAAAUACCCUCUGAAGGUAGAUGUCAAUGGCAAAGUAAGCCCCUUGCCUGGACAAGAGAAUUUCCCAGAUGUUGGUGGAAAGGUGCUUGGAGCUCGUUCUACCCUUCCUGAUGCAUUAACUACAUAGCAAGUCCAUGCUUCUGUUUCUAAUUCACACGGUAUCUCACUUUGACUGUUGAGAGGCAGGCUAUAGUUUGUACUGAUAUGAAGCUCAGUUACUCUAGGAGCCUUACGAGAGUCUUAAAU
rnacentral:misc_RNA from 1 species